GACGAACGCUGGCGGCGUGCUUAACACAUGCCAGUCGAACGGAAAGGCCCUGCUUUUGUGUGGUGCUCGAGUGGCGAACGGGUGAGUAACACGUGAGUAACCUGCCCUUGACUUUGGGAUAACUUCAGGCAACUGGGGCUAAUACCGGAUAGGAGCUCCUGCUGCAUGGUGGGGGUUGGAAAGUUUCGGCGGUUGGGGAUGGACUGGCGGCUUAUCAGCUUGUUGGUGGGGUAGUGGCUUACCAAGGCUUUGGUGGGUAGCCGGCCUGGGAGGGUAACCGGCGACAUUGGGACUGAGAUACGGACCAGACUCCUACGGGAGGCAGCAGGGGGGAGUAUUGCACAAUGGGCGGAAGCCUGAUGAGGCAACGCCGCGUGCGGGAUGACGGCCUUCGGGUUGUAAACCGCAUUCGCCUGUGACGAAGCGUGAGUGACGGUAAUGGGUAAAGAAGCACCGGCUAACUACGUG
rnacentral:rRNA from 1 species